rnacentral:rRNA from 1 species
UCAGGGAUGAAGUUUAUUGACCGUACCUGAAGAAUAAGAGGCUCCUAAUCUCGUGCCAGCAGGAGCGGUAAUACGAGAGCCUCGAGCGUUAUCCGGAAUUAUUGGGCGUAAAGGGUGUGUAGGUUGUUUUGUUAGUCUUUAGUCAAAACCCCGGGCUUAGCCUGGGAUCUGCUAAAGAAACGGCAAAACUUGAAAGUGCGAGAGGUGUACGGAACUCAUGGUGUAGGGGUGAAAUCCGUUGAUAUCAU